rnacentral:rRNA from 1 species
AUUGAACGCUGGCGGCAGGCUUAACACAUGCAAGUCGAGCGGGGGAAGGUAGCUUGCUACCGGACCUAACGGCGGACGGGUGAGUAAUGCUUAGGAAUCUGCCUAUUAGUGGGGGACAACAUCUCGAAAGGGAUGCUAAUACCGCAUACGUCCUACGGGAGAAAGCAGGGGCUCUUCGGACCUUGCGCUAAUAGAUGAGCCUAAGUCGGAUUAGCUAGUUGGUGGGGUAAAGGCCUACCAAUGUGACGAUCUGUAGCGGGUCUGAGAGGAUGAUCCGCCACACUGGGACUGAGACACGGCCCAGACUCCUACGGGAGGCAGCAGUGGGGAAUAUUGGACAAUGGGGGGAACCCUGAUCCAGCCAUGCCGCGUGUGUGAAGAAGGCCUUAUGGUUGUAAACCACUGUCAGUGGGGAGCAAAUGCAUCAGGGUUCUCCCUGGUGUUUGAGCGAUCCGCAGAGGAAGCACAGGCUAAUUCCGUGCCAGCAGCCGCAGUAA